GAUGUUGGGUUAAGUCCCGCAACGAGCGCAACCCUCAUUUUUAGUUGCCUUAUGGAACUCUAGAAAGACUGCCGGUUAUAAACCGGAGGAAGCGGGGAUGACGUCAAGUCAGCAUGCCCCUUACACCCUGGGCUACACACGUGCUACAAUGGGUGAGACAAUGAGAUGCAAAUCUGCGAAGACAAGCUAAUCUAUAAACUCACUCUAAGUUCGGAUUGUAGGCUGCAACUCGCCUGCAUGAAGUUGGAAUCGCUAGUAAUCGCUGGUCAGCAUACAGCGGUGAAUUCGUUCCCGGGCCUU
rnacentral:rRNA from 1 species